rnacentral:rRNA from 1 species
GCAAGUCGAACGAGAAACCCGAGCUUGCUCGGGUGGACAGUGGCAGACGGCUUAGUAACGCGUGGGUAUCUACCUAGAGGUUUGGAACAACUAUUGGAAACGAUAGCUAAUACCAAAUAUUCCCUAAGGGGGAAAGAUUUAUCGCCUUUAGAUGAGCCCGCGUCGGAUUAGCAUGUUGGUAGGGUAAAGGCCUACCAAGGCAACGAUCCGUAGCUGGUCUGAGAGGAUGAUCAGCAAGAUUGGGACUGAGACACGGCCCAGACUCCUACGGGAGGCAGCAGUGGGGAAUAUUGCGCAAUGGGGGAAACCCUGACGCAGCGAUGCCGCGUGAGUGAAGAAGGCCUUAGGGUUGUAAAACUCUUUCACCGGUGAAGAUAAUGACGGUAGCCGGAGAAGAAGCCCCGGCUAACUCCGUGCCAGCAGCCGCGGUAAUACGGAGGGGGCUAACGUUGUUCGGAAUUACUGGGCGUAAAGCGCGCGUAGGCGGAUUAGACAGUUGAGGGUGAAAUCCCGGAGCUUACCUCCGGAACUGCCUUCAAUACUACUAAUUCUUGAGUUCGGAGGAGGUGAGUGGAAUUCCUAGUG